AACAGUGGUCCGAUGUAGAGCCGUUUGAGCCGCCGGCCGUCCGCGGCGAAUCCAACGGACGGCGGCGACGCCGUAUCCCACCCGAGCGCCGGAACCGCCGCGUCGUCCGCACGCGCGUCAGCCCCUCGUCGGCCGCCGCAUUUCCUCGAUUCGCGAGCGUCGGCGGCGAUAACUCCCGCUUACGCGCGCGCGGGAUGGCGUCAACGCUUUGCUCUCCCCGCCACCACCACCGCUCGUAUAUCUGCCGUCGCCGCCUGCGCCCCUCCCCUCCCAGCCACGCCCGUCCCCGGAGCGGCGCCGGCGGCCCACCAGGAUUGAACACCACGAAAUAUCUUUGUUCCCACCCAAUGUCCACCGGCAGGGGUUCUCCUGUAUCGUGUUCAUCCAUGGAAGCAUCCAAAAGCAAGCCAGGACCGGAACAUCUCAUUGUUCUGGUUCAUGGUAUCAUGGCAAGCCCCAGUGACUGGACAUAUGGGGAAGCAGUGCUGAAAAAGAGGCUUGGUGACAAUUUCUUCAUCUAUGCUAGUUCAUCAAACAUCUACGCCAAAUCUUUUGACGGGAUCAAUGUAGCUGGAAGGAGGUUAGCGAAAGAAGUCUUGGACGUGGUUCAGAAGAUGGCCGGCUUGAAAAAGAUUUCCUUCAUAGCACAUUCUUUGGGUGGUUUGUUUGCUAGAUAUGCUAUUUCUAUACUAUAUUCACAGCAAGCAAAAGAAACAGGAAGUGGUGCUAGUGUCAUGCUGACAAGUGGAGGAUCUGAAAUAUCACGCACUUCAGGAUUAGGUGCCAUUGCUGGGUUGGAGCCAACUAAUUUUAUUACAUUGGCAACCCCACAUCUUGGUGUUAGAGGAAAAAAUCAGCUUCCAUUUCUUCAAGGGCUGUCAAUUCUAGAGAAACUUGCAGCACCUUUGGCGCCCUUCAUUGUCGGACGCACUGGUGCUCAGCUCUUUCUCACUGAUGGUGAACCUACCAAGCCGCCUCUCCUUCUACUAAUGACAUCUGACCAUGAAGACAAAAAGUUCAUAUCUGCACUAGCAGCUUUUAAGAACCGCAUUUUGUAUGCUAAUGUUUCAUAUGACCAUAUGGUUGGUUGGAAAACAUCUUCAAUAAGGAGAGAAUUGGACCUUAGAAAGCCCUUGCGUCGUUCACUUGAUGGCUACAAGUACAUUGUGAAUGUGGAGUACUGUUCGCCUGUGUCGUCCGAUGGUCCCCAUUUUCCUUCGCGGGCUGCCAGAGCCAAGGAAGCUGCACAGAGUACACCGAAUGUGGAAAAUACCGAGGAAUAUCACCAGAUGAUGGAAGGCAAAGGAGAUGAUUCGUGGGUUGCAGAGAGUGGGUUGGAAGAAAGUAGAUGUGAACUUCCAUGCAUCAAUGUGGCCUUACUCUGCUCACAACAACAUGCAUGUUAAGAAUGAGUGGCUUCAUAACGCGGGUGCCGGUGUGAUCGCCCACGUCGCAGACAGCAUGAAACAGACAUGUCUGCCCUCCAGCCUGUGAGAUUUACACCUGGGAUGCUGACUUUCGCCACGGUUAGAUCUACAAGGAAUUAGUGAUACAUUUUGUUGCAGACGGUUCGCAAGUCAGUUGCAGAGGCAGGUGCCGGCACAAACUGGAAAUGAAAAAAGAAGAAACGGGAUGAUAUUUCUCAUUCGGAAGAUGAUUGCCUCGACUUGUGCUGGAAGCAAAUGGUAUUUUAUAUGAUAUUACACCACAGAUAGGUGUGAAGUGUUCGUAGCUAUGGUGGAUUAUGCUAAUAUUGAGAGAGGGCGUACUGGAAAUGUAACACCGCGGUUGACCUGGAAAACCCAGGCAUUUUAACACUGAGGCCUGUUUUUGCUGGUGUCCCGUCCAACAAGAAUGAACAUAUGGUGGUAAAAAAUCGGAUUUAAAGUAGACCAUUCUAGAGAAGAGUAGGAACCACAGAUGGCAUGCAUAUUGUAGAACUAAUAGGGGAAGCAAGGAGUUGUAAGAAAAUAAACAUGGGGGAUGGAUUGUAGGCUUGAAAAUACAGUUUGGUUAUUCUUUGCUGUAUUCCGUACAUUGUAAAA